rnacentral:rRNA from 1 species
UUAGCAUGGAAUAAUAAAAUAGGACGUGUGGUUCUAUUUUGUUGGUUUCUAGGACCGCCGUAAUGAUUAAUAGGGACAGUCGGGGGCAUCAGUAUUCAAUUGUCAGAGGUGAAAUUCUUGGAUUUAUUGAAGACUAACUACUGCGAAAGCAUUUGCCAAGGAUGUUUUCAUUAAUCAGGAACGAAAGUUAGGGGAUCGAAGACGAUCAGAUACCGUCGUAGUCUUAACCAUAAACUAUGCCGACUAGGGAUCGGACGAUGUUAUAUUUUGACUCGUUCGGCACCUUACGAGAAAUCAAAGUGCUUGGGCUCCAGGGGGAGUACGGUCGCAAGGCUGAAACUUAAAGAAAUUGACGGAAGGGCACCACCAGGGGUGGAGCCUGCGGCUUAAUUUGACUCAACACGGGGAAACUCACCAGGUCCAGACACAAUGAGGAUUGACAGAUUGAGAGCUCUUUCUUGAUUUUGUGGGUGGUGGUGCAUGGCCGUUCUUAGUUGGUGGAGUGAUUUGUCUGCUUAAUUGCGAUAACGAACGAGACCUUAACCUGCUAAAUAGCCCGUAUUGCUUUGGCAGUACGCUGGCUUCUUAGAGGGACUAUCGGCUCAAGCCGAUGGAAGUUUGAGGCAAUAACAGGUCUGUGAUGCCCUUAGAUGUUCUGGGCCCCACGCGCGCUACACUGACGGAGCCAGCGAGUACUUCCUUGGCCGAAAGGCCCGGGUAAUCUUGUUAAACUCCGUCGUGCUGGGGAUAGAGCAUUGCAAU